AGAGAUGUGUGAUGACGCAUAUCAAUAAGCGGAGGAAAAGAAACUAACAAGGAUUCCCUUAGUAACGGCGAGUGAAGCGGGAAGAGCUCAAAUUUGAAAUCUUCAAGGUUCUACCUUGACGAAUUGUAGUUUAUAGAAGUGUUUUCUGUUAGUAGAGUGGCAAAAGUUCUUUGGAAUAGGACAUCAUAGAGGGUGAGAAUCCCGUAUUUGGUCAUUCUUUCUAGCUCUGUGAUACACUUUCAACGAGUCGGAUUGUUUGGGAAUGCAGUCCAAAAUGGGUGGUAAAUUUCAUCUAAAGCUAAAUAUUGGCGAGAGACCGAUAGCGAACAAGUACCGUGAGGGAAAGAUGAAAAGAACUUUGGAAAGAGAGUUAAACAGUACGUGAAAUUGUCAAAAGGGAAGCGUUUGACACCAGUGUUGUUUUUCCGAAAAUCAAUUACGAAUGUUUUAUUUUUGAGAAGUUAUGACUUCAUCGGCUUGCUUCUCUCUUUAUGAAACUUUCUUAAUGCACUUUUCGGUUAACAAGUCAACAUCAAUUUCUUUUGUUGUAAAAGGGUAUGAGGAAGGUGGCUUUCUUUUCGGAGAAAGUGUUUAUAGCCUUGUACCUCUGCAAUCGGAGAGAUUGAGGUCUGCAGCGUAGAUCCUUCGGGGUUAGAUACAUUUGUGCUAAGUUAUAGCUUUUCAUAGACAACUUGUUGACUAUGUUAAGUCUUGUAGCUUACUCGCUUAUGCUAUUUUACCUACGCUUAGGAUGUUGACAGCAGUAUAGACUGU
rnacentral:rRNA from 1 species